CGAACGCUGGCGGCGUGCUUAACACAUGCAAGUCGAACGAUGAACUCCAGCUUGCUGGGGGGAUUAGUGGCGAACGGGUGAGUAACACGUGAGUAACCUGCCCUUGACUCUGGGAUAAGCACUGGAAACGGUGUCUAAUACCGGAUACGAACUUCCGCCGCAUGGUGAGGAGUUGGAAAGAAUUUCGGUCAAGGAUGGACUCGCGGCCUAUCAGCUAGUUGGUGAGGUAAUGGCUCACCAAGGCGACGACGGGUAGCCGGCCUGAGAGGGGGACCGGCCACACUGGGACUGAGACACGGCCCAGACUCCUACGGGAGGCAGCAGUGGGGAAUAUUGCACAAUGGGCGAAAGCCUGAUGCAGCAACGCCGCGUGAGGGACGAAGGCCUUCGGGUUGUAAACCUCUUUUAGUAGGGAAGAAGCGAAAGUGACGGUACCUGCAGAAAAAGCACCGGCUAACUACGUGCCAGCCGCCGCUGUAACAC
rnacentral:rRNA from 1 species